GUUUAGGUUCGGAAGAGAGAGAGAGCAGCCGUGUUGGAUAUUCUAUAAUCUGUACUUGCCAGGUUUGGAUGUUGGAAGGGGAAUUCAGGAAUUCCAAUGGUAACCAAAAAUGCUCAAUGGUUGGCUAGGAUCAAGGGUUUUGGAUUCUGGAUAUUGUAAGAGCAAGGAUCAGCUGAUUGGGAUUGUUAGGUUUGGCAAAAGAAUUGGAUGUUCAGAAGGGUAGGAAUGCUUGUGAACCUCUACUCUUUAUGCAUAAGAGGUUGCAGGCAAUGAGAUUAGGCAGGGAAUUGCAGGAGCUCAGCAGUUAGCUGUGUGACAUGAGGGGAAGGUGAGGUGGGACUAUGGGCUGCCUUUGCUCAAAAGGGGCCUCUAGCGAUGAACCUGCAGAGGUUCAUAUAGAGAAAGAAUUGAACAAGUCUUCCAAUCAACUGGUUA